CAAGGUGGAGAAGUCUGAGCUGGCAAAGUUUCAACAGCAUCCAGCAUCAUACCCGGGGGGCCAGUGGAGAUUGUGGAGGAGUAUAAAUACCUGGGAACAACUUAGACAACUUGAUGAGGUUUUCCUCCAACACAGAGGAAGUCUUAAAGAAGUGCCACCAGAGACAGUACCAGCUCGGAAAGCUGAAAUCAUUGGGGGGUAACAAGGACAUUCUCACAACAUUCUGUUAUGCAUUUACUGAAGAUGUAGUAACCUUUUCUUUCAUUUGCUGGUUCCACUGUAUCACCCUGCAGAACAGGAACCACCUGCUGAAAGUGGUGAAAGUCUGUAGAAAAACACUGAGCAGCCUCUCAGGUCUCUGACCCCCUCAUGCAACCAGCAGACAGGGAAACCGACAUCCCAUAUUCUGCUUCAUGUUUGACUGGCUCUCCUCCAGACCUAGGCUUCGCUGCCCAGAAGUCACAACACAGAGACUAUCUUGGGCUUCACUUCUUUCUGGAUCC